rnacentral:tRNA from 1 species
GCCAUUAUAGUGUAAAAAACACAAUACAUUUUCAAUGUAUAAAUAAGCACAGCUUUAAAGGCA